CGAGGUAAACAAACCGAUCGAUUCCUGAUCACCGUUCUUGUCGAUCGGAAAAUCAAAAUACCAGCGUGAUAUUGCCGCGAAGAUGAAGCAGUUAUGUUACUUGAUUCGUACUUCAUAUUCGAGUCGAAGCUUGGGUGGCACAGGUUAUUUCUUGCGGUGGAAUCGACGAGGGGAAUUCGAACACUAGUUGUAGUGUUUGAAUUGUUGAAAGAAAUGGUCGCAUGAGGAUUAUUUACCUGCUUGAUUUAUAUCGGUUACGCUUCAUGUUGACAAGUCCCUCAAAAUGGCGGCCAAACUUGGAGAUUGCCGAAAAUUAGCAUUAGAUUCCAUCCACCAAAACCACCUUGGUCGAGAGGGACUGAGAUGGAAUGAUGGACAACUCAUGACUUGUUAUACUAAUUGAAAAUUACGAAGCUACGAUAACAUGCCGACUUAUCCCGAUGAUCUAAGUGUAUUAUUUGUUUGGGAAAUUGCGUCAAAACUUUUUACUCAAGAAAUGACCAGACUGGAACCUCUAUAAGUGUGUCUGCUUGUUUUGAGUGGGGAUGGAAGAAAAGGAGUCAUGCCGCUUAUCUGAUUUAUUAAACCAGAUUUGUUCUGUUUAUACAUGAGUAGAACUACCUUGUUCUCUGAAAAAAAUAAAAUUUCUCGCAUUUUUAUCUGUGUUUUGCAGUCAAACUUCCUUGUGUCUUGGACAAGAAAUCUUAUUUUCUUGAAAACAAAAUCUUUGUUUCCAGCCUUCUGUAAUAGGUAAAUAUAACAGUGUAAGAUG